rnacentral:rRNA from 1 species
UACGAAGGGAGCUAGCGUUGUUCGGAAUUACUGGGCGUAAAGCGCGCGCAGGCGGCUAUCCAAGUCAGUGGUGAAAGCCCGGAGCUCAACUCCGGAACUGCCAUUGAAACUGUUUAGCUUGAGGACGAGAGAGGUGAGUGGAAUUCCCAGUGUAGAGGUGAAAUGCGUAGAGAUCCGGAGGAACACCAGAGGCGAAGGCGGCAACCUGGCUCGUAACUGACGCUCAUACACGACAGCAUGGGGAGCGAACGGG